rnacentral:rRNA from 1 species
GUCUAUGGCUCUGCUACCCUGAACAAGCCCUAUCCCAUCUGAUCUCAGAAGCUAAGCAGGGUCAGGCCUGGUUAGUAUUUGAAUGGGAGACUACCUAAGAAGACCAGGUGCUAUAGGGG